UGGGGAAUAUUGCACAAUGGGCGCAAGCCUGAUGCAGCCAUGCCGCGUGUGUGAAGAAGGCCUUCGGGUUGUAAAGCAACUUUCAGCGAGGAGGAAGGUGGUGAGCUUAAUACGCUCAUCAAUUGACGUUACUCGCAGAAGAAGCACCGGCUAACUCCGUGCCAGCAGCCGCGGUAAUACGGAGGGUGCAAGCGUUAAUCGGAAUUACUGGGCGUAAAGCGCACGCAGGCGGUUUGUUAAGUCAGAUGUGAAAUCCCCGGGCUCAACCUGGGAACUGCAUUUGAAACUGGCAAGCUAGAGUCUCGUAGAGGGGGGUAGAGUUCCAGGUGUAGCGGUGAAAUGCGUAGAGAUCUGGAGGAAUACCGGUGGCGAAGGCGGCCCCCUGGACGAAGACUGACGCUCAGGUGCGAAAGGCGUGGGGCAGCAAAACAGGAUUAGAUACCCUGGUAGUCCACGCUGUAAACGAUGUCGA
rnacentral:rRNA from 1 species